UUCUUACAGGCCAAGGCAAUCCACAGCAACCCUGUGCUCACCUCUGUAAUUUGCUGUGUGAAGUACUUCAUUGUUACGCGCAGGUCUUUCCCACUAAACUUUGAAGAGUUAAACAGAAGAGGAAUAACUUAAUAGCAAGCAUUUUGAGAUUUCAAAACAAUACUUGAGAUAUUCUAUUUUCAAAAGUACAAAUCUGCAGUGCAAUCAGAUUCAAGGAUUUGGAUGACUAAAGCAGAUGAUCAGUCAUAAAGAGUAUGCGAGCCAGUGGAUUGACAUUCUUGGAUCCGGUCUAAACAUUCUGAUGAACAGUUCCGCAGCAGAUAUGUCAGCAUGACUUCUUUUUAAAUGAUUUUAUUUGGAUUGCCUUCCAGGAUUCCCAAGACUGUGUUAAGCAGAGCAAUUAUAAUAGUUUAGAGAGUAUGAGCAAGAAACAACCCACAUGUAAUAAAAUAUGAAGAAAAAGAGGGCACCUGG